UUCUUCAUGGUUCCUCCGCAGAGUGGACCAGCAGAGCUCAGAGGUUCCCAGUGGUCAGUCUGCCCAGCAGCAUCAAACACAGCUGGACUCCAUAUUUAUGCUGCUGGAGGACAACAUCAUCACUUUUGUGAAGAACGAGCUGAAGAAGAUCCAGAAGGUUCUGAGUCCAGAUUACCCAGAAUGCUUAGAGAGUCAGAGGAGCAGCAGCAGAGAAGCAUUUGUGAAGAUCACAGUGGACUUCCUGAGGAGAAUGAAGUAGGAGGAGCUGGCUGACCGUCUGCAGAGCAAACUUGAAGCUGCAGUUUGUCAUCGUAACCUUAAAUCUGCACUGAAGAAGAAGUUCCAGUGUGUGUUUGAGGGCAUCGCUAAAGCAGGAAACCCAACCCUUCUGAAUCAGAUCUACACAGAGCUCUACAU